AUUGAACGCUGGCGGCGUGCCUAACACAUGCAAGUCGAGCGAUUCUCUUCGGAGAAGAGCGGCGGACGGGCGAGUAACGCGUGGGUAACCUGCCCUGUACACACGGAUAACAUACCGAAAGGUAUGCUAAUACGAGAUAAUAUGCUUUUAUCGCAUGGUAGAAGUAUCAAAGCUCCGGCGGUACAGGAUGGACCCGCGUCUGAUUAGCUAGUUGGUAAGGUAACGGCUUACCAAGGCGACGAUCAGUAGCCGACCUGAGAGGGUGAUCGGCCACAUUGGAACUGAGACACGGUCCAAACUCCUACGGGAGGCAGCAGUGGGGAAUAUUGCACAAUGGGCGAAAGCCUGAUGCAGCAACGCCGCGUGAGCGAUGAAGGCCUUCGGGCCGUAAAGCUCUGUCCUCAAGGAAGAUAAUGACGGUACUUGAGGAGGAAGCCCCGGCUAACUACGUGCCAGCCGCCGCUGUAAUAC
rnacentral:rRNA from 1 species